rnacentral:rRNA from 1 species
GACGAACGCUGGCGGCGUGCUUAACACAUGCAAGUCGAACGAUGAAGAAGAGAAACGCGAACUUCGGUUCAAAUUUCACUUCGGAUUAGUGGCAGACGGGUGAGUAACGCGUGAGCAACCUACCUCUUACAAAGGGAUAGCCUCGGGAAACCGUGAUUAAUACCAUGUGACACAUUCAUAAGGCAUCUUAAGAAUGUUAAAGCUACGGCGGUAAGAGAUGGGCUCGCGUCCCAUUAGCUAGUUGGUGAGGUAACGGCCCACCAAGGCGACGAUGGGUAACCGGCCUGAGAGGGUGAACGGUCACAUUGGAACUGAGACACGGUCCAAACUCCUACGGGAGGCAGCAGUGGGGAAUAUUGCACAAUGGAGGGAACUCUGAUGCAGCGACGCCGCGUGAGCGAUGAAGGAAUUCGUUUCGUAAAGCUCUGUUCUAUGGGAAGAAAAGGACUGUACCAUAGGAGAAAGCCCCGGCUAAAUACGUG